UACGAAGGGGGCUAGCGUUGCUCGGAAUCACUGGGCGUAAAGGGUGCGUAGGCGGGUUUUUAAGUCAGGGGUGAAAUCCUGGAGCUCAACUCCAGAACUGCCUUUGAUACUGAAGAUCUUGAGUCCGGGAGAGGUGAGUGGAACUGCGAGUGUAGAGGUGAAAUUCGUAGAUAUUCGCAAGAACACCAGUGGCGAAGGCGGCUCACUGGCCCGGUACUGACGCUGAGGCACGAAAGCGUGGGGAGCAAACAAG
rnacentral:rRNA from 1 species